ensembl:lncRNA
UUUUUUUUUUUUUUUGUCUGCGCUAUCCACCCAGGGAAAGGGCAGGCCUUGAUUACGCCAUCUGCGUGCAAUAGCGGGUAUUCAAAGAGGGAGGUGGACGGCCUAAGACGUAAACACUGAAGAGGAGGAGAUGUAAAGUGAGAGGUGUUGCUUCUUUGAAAAAAAAAAGGCCAGCACAAGCGAGGCAUUGUGGGCCAGAGGAGAGACAGCCGCUAUCCCCACAUCUCUCUGUCCCUCCCUUCACCGCCUGCCACAGCUGUGCAUGAACAAGAUCAGGGCCAGAGGACAACAUAUCAGUGUGGAGACUGUCGAGGGCUCAUCAGAGGUCCCCCUUGUGCCACCAAAACAGCUCUGACCUUUCGAGUCAUGGACUCCACAAGACGUCUGAAGGUGUGCUGUGGUAUCUGUCACCGAGACAUAAGCAGCAGAUCCUUUAAGUCCUAUAAAUUGCGAGGUGGGUCCUCCAUGGAUCGGACUUGUUUGUCCGGCACAAUCCUACAGACGUUCGAUCGGAUUGAGAUCUGGGGAAUUUACAGACCAAGUCAACACCUUGAACUCUAUGUCAUGUUCCUUCAACCACUCCUGAAGAAUUUUUGUAGCGUUGCACGGCGCAUUAUCCUGCUGAAAGAGGUCACUACCAUUAAAGAAUACCGUUACCAUGAAGAGGUGUACUUGGUCUGCACCAGUGUUUAGGUAGGUGCUACACAUCAAAGUAACAUCCACAUGAGUGCCAGGACACAAGGUUUCCCAACAGAACAGUCGUCUAACUAUCACAAUUUGCCCUUGUCGAAGUCACUCAGAUUCUUACACUUGCCCAUUUUUCCUGUUUCCAACACUAUCAACUUCAAGGAACUGAUUGUUUACUUGCUGUCUAAUAUAUCCCACCCCUUGACAGGUGUCAGUGUAACGAGAUAAUCAUUGUUAUUCAUGUCGCCUGGUGGUGGUUUUAAUGCUAUGGAUGAUCAGUGUGUGUGUGUGUGUGUGUGUGUGUGUGUGUGU